rnacentral:rRNA from 1 species
GUUGUAUGGUUAAGUGACUAAGCGUACACGGUGGAUGCCUUGGCAGUCAGAGGCGAUGAAGGACGUACUAACUUGCGAUAAGCGAUGAUGAGGCAGUAAGAGCCAUUUGAGUCAUCGAUUU